GACGAACGCUGGCGGCGUGCUUAACACAUGCAAGUCGAGCGGUAAGGCCCUUUCGGGGGUACGACGAGCGGCGAACGGGUGAGUAACACGUGGGUGACCUGCCCUCAGCUCUGGGAGUAAGCCUGGGAAACCGGGUCUAAUACCGGAUAUGACUCCAUGACGCAUGUUGUGGGGUGGAAAGCCUUGUGCGGCUGAGGAUGGGCCCGCGGCCUAUCAGCUUGUUGGUGGGGUGAGGCCUACCAAGGCGACGACGGGUAGCCGGCCUGAGAGGGCGACCGGCCACACUGGGACUGAGACACGGCCCAGACUCCUACGGGAGGCAGCAGUGGGGAAUCUUGCGCAAUGGGCGAAAGCCUGACGCAGCGACGCCGCGUGAGGGAUGACGG
rnacentral:rRNA from 1 species